UACGUAGGUGGCAAGCGUUGUCCGGAUUUAUUGGGCUUAAAGGGUGCGUAGGCGGUCCUAUAAGUCAGUGGUGAAAUAUCCCGGCUUAACCGGGAGGGUGGCAUUGAUACUGCAGGACUUGAGUAAAGUUGAGGUAGGCGGAAUUGACGGUGUAGCGGUGAAAUGCUUAGAUAUCGUCAAGAACACCGAUAGUGUAGACAGCUUACUAAGCUUUAACUGACGCUGAGGCACGAAAGCGUGGGGAUCAAACAGG
rnacentral:rRNA from 1 species